UCGACUAUAUCGCGUUGAAACACCGGUUCUCGUACGAUCACAGAAGUUAAGCAACGUCGAGUGGGGUCAUUGUCUAGUUUGGUAACCGCUUGGGAAUACCGGGUUCUGUAA